AUCAAAGUGUCUGCAGGUUUUAACACAUCUGUCAAACCACAACCACUGGAAAGUAAAACACAAGCAUUAUAUAUUUAUCCCUGUAAAACUGUCGUCCAUUUAAUGACAAAGAAAAAGUCAUUGGUUCAGUGCUUUGUGUCAAAAACAUCCUGAAUAAUUCUCAUUUUAGCAUUACAAUCUAACCCACAAAUGAUUAUAAUGCAAGCAUUUUAACUAACGCAGUUUAGGGGGUUGUCUUUGGAAUUUCCACAUUUAUUGUGGGAGAAGCAGUUGAAGCAAGCUACAUUUUCAGGGACUCUAGGCUGUUUUGGCUUGCUUUUAGUCUGUUUAUAGAACCAAAAGCAAGACCUAUCUCCACUUUCAACUAGCAGGGGGAAGAAGCAGUUAUAGUUCGCUUUUAGCACCCUCUAGUGUCUGUUUGUAGAACCACAAGAAAAACCUAUCUCCUUGCAGUGCGUUUGUCUUGUUAACAGCGGAAAUGUCUCCCCAGCCUUCUCUUGAGCCAGUAUGUGCUAAAAUGAGCCUUUCCAGGGUCACUCAGUCCCUAUCGCCCUCUGUGGCCAGGAUAUUCCACUUGCAACUCCUGACUAGCGGGCCGCUCUGUGGAGCUGACACCUGGCCCUGCACAUAACUGAUUUGUUUAAAUUAGUAAUGAACAACUCCUGUAGACACUAAUGAAGGCUGGGGAAACAUUUCAGCUGUUAAAAAGACAAAUGCACAGCAAGGAGAAACGUUUUGCUUUCGGUUGUACAGACAAACACUAAGGGGUGCUAAAAACAAGCCAAAACUACUUAAUUCCCCUUUAAUGUUCCUGAUAUCCAGACAUCUUGUCUCUGAUUGGCUAACAGCAAUGAGACUCUCCCGUGGACUUCAUUCGCUCUGCAAUACUGAUGUGUGAUCUCCACAAAUACCACAAGUCUGAAGGAGUUCUGCCAUGUUGUGGAGUUUCUAAUGCCAACGUUAGCUUAUGCUAGCCAAGACGCACUCUCCUUGCUGCAAAAAUCAACACAGCCUUUCCCAGUCACGAGCCAUGGGCUUCCAUGAAUGACAAUGUUCAGUGCAACAUGGAUCUGUGCGCCUUUUUCUAAUCUGAGCGUUUCCGCGUCUAAGUCAAGUAAAAAAAUCCGUUUCUCAGUAAAAUUACUUUUUAAUAUGAGCUAAAUACUGUAUAUCUGACAAGGGACAUAUUAUGGAGCAUUUAACCUCUUAAUGAAUUUAAUAUACAUCUGAGAGUCUGAAGUCACAAACAACUUAAAGGUCCAGGUAAAUUCUACUCAUUUUGUGAGGAUUUCUAGGGAGAAAUACAACACAAUUCCACUUAGCUAAAGCAUUAAAUAAAUAUGCAUUCAAUAUACCUCAAAUUAUUUGGUUUUACUUUGCUCUUAACAGCAGACUAUUAUGAUAAUAACUUUCCUAUGCUUGUUUUUAUUUGAGAGGGCAGAACCUGAUAAUUACGUCACGCAAAUGUGAAAGAUAGAACAAGGUCACUUUGAGGGGCAACAGCCGGUUUGUUGCAUCAGAUCAAUACGUUUUGAGGAUUUUUCAAGGUCUGUGAAAAAAGACUGAGUCCAGAGGAUUCAUUUGGGAAUUCAGGUGAAGAACAUCUCAAUAAAUCACACUGACACUGUAAUUAAAAAGAGAGGAGGAUCUUCAAGAGGAAGGCCUUGAGCUGGUGUGGCCUUAUCUCUGUUUGUUUUUGAUCCUUAUCACCUUUUCCAAGUUGAAGAAAUGAUUUAAAAGAAGCUUAACUCUUGAAAACUGUCUUCACAUUCACCUCAAUGUUUGAAUUUUCUCUUGGCACCCUGCUGCUUUACCUUUUUUCUGGUGUCCUUUAUAUUUUCUGACAUGGAACAGUGUUCUAAGGGAAGCUCAAUAGAGAUGUAUGAACUCGUUGUCUAUCAUAAGACCUUAAAAACCCACAUACCAGUUUAAAAUGGACCAAAUAAAGUGUCUAUCAUGUCAGAUUUUGAAGGGUUUGCCUCAUUUAUAACUUUAUAUAUUUAGCAGCUUUUGUUGGGACCAGGAUCACAUCAAAAAACAUUUCUUUUUAUGAUCAGACUAAAUGUGGGAAAUGUCCUAGAAAGCAGAAUUUUGCAAAUGUUUUCCUGAUUUAGACACCAAGGUGGCUAAAUUAUUCAGAUCUCACUUGGUGCUUUUAGACAACUGGGUUCAUUUUUACUUUUCUGAACUGAGGUCACUUAACCCUUCACUGUAUUCUCUGUCAGCCUUCUCCCUUUCUGUUCCUCUCAUUCUCUGUCCAGACAGACACAAAUUGAGUUUGUUUUGGGCAAAUUUGCUAUUCCUGGAUGAAUUAAGCUCUAGCAAUGUGAUCUGAAUUCCCAUCAGUUGCUGUCAGACACAUCACGGGGUGUUUCUGACACCACUGGGUGUUUUAGUUGUUGUGAUUCUACUGUACACGGCAUAUUUCUGCAUGAAAACAAGGAAAGCAUUUUGUUUGCAGCUGCUCUGUGAUAUUUAAUUACACAGCCAAUUGAGAGAGCAGUAGUUUUUCAGAUUUGUGCAAUCUGUUCCCUGACAUAAAUAAGAUUAUACCUCCAUGAGAAGACUCAGUUAACUGAUGAGAGGUAAACUAAUCUCUUUCUCAUCACACAAGAAGAAAACAGAAUACAAACGUAUUCAGGAGUCAGAAGAAAUCAUUAAGUCUUUAGAGACACCCAUAGAAGAGGAGUUACUGAGCAAAUUACGUACG
rnacentral:lncRNA from 1 species